rnacentral:rRNA from 1 species
AGGAUGAACGCUGGCGGUGUGCUUCACACAUGCAAGUCGAACGGGGUAGCAAUACCCAGUGGCGGACGGGUGAGUAACACGUGGGAAUCUGCCUUUAGAUGGGGGAUAACUGACCGAAAGGUUAGCUAAUACCGCAUAUGCCGCAAGGUAAAAGGAGCAAUCCGUCUGAAGAUGAGCCCGCGUCCGAUUAGCUAGUUGGUAGGGUAAAAGCCUACCAAGGCUACGAUCGGUAGCUGGUCUGAGAGGAUGAUCAGCCACAAUGGGACUGAGACACGGCCCAUACUCCUACGGGAGGCAGCAGUGGGGAAUUUUGUGCAAUGGGGGAAACCCUGACACAGCGACACCGCGUGAGCGAAGAAGCCCCUUGGGGUGUAAAGCUCUGUCGACAGGGACGAAAAAAAUGACGGUACCUGUAGAGGAAGCAUCGGCUAACUACGCGCCAGCAGCCGC